rnacentral:rRNA from 1 species
AUUGAACGCUGGCGGCAGGCUUAACACAUGCAAGUCGAGCGGGCGAGGUUGCUUCGGUAACUGAGCUAGCGGCGGACGGGUGAGUAAUGCUUAGGAAUCUGCCUAUUAGUGGGGGACAACAUUCCGAAAGGAAUGCUAAUACCGCAUACGCCCUACGGGGGAAAGCAGGGGAUCUUCGGACCUUGCGCUCAUAGAUGAGCCUAAGUAAGAUUAGCUAGUUGGUGGGGUAAAGGCCUACCAAGGCGACGUUCUGUAGCGGGUCUGAGAGGAUGAUCCGCCACACUGGGACUGAGACACGGCCCAGACUCCUACGGGAGGCAGCAGUGGGGAAUAUUGGACAAUGGGCGAAAGCCUGAUCCAGCCAUGCCGCGUGUGUGAAGAAGGCCUUUUGGUUGUAAAGCACUUUAAGCGAGGAGGAGGCUACCGAGAUUAAUACUCUUGGAUAGUGGACGUUACUCGCAGAAUAAGCACCGGCUAACUCUGUGCCAGCCGCCGCGGUAAGAC